rnacentral:rRNA from 1 species
GACGAACGCUGGCGGCAUGCCUAAUACAUGCAAGUCGAGCGAACAGAUGAAGUGCUUGCACUUCUGACGUUAGCGGCGAACGGGUGAGUAACACGUAAGGAAUCUACCUAUAAGCGGGGGAUAACAUUCGGAAACGGGUGCUAAUACCGCAUAAUAUCUUAUUCCGCAUGGAAGAAGAUUGAAAAACGGCUCUGCUGUCACUUAUAGAUGACCUUGCGGUGCAUUAGUUAGUUGGGGGGGUAAUGGCCUACCAAGCCGAUGAUGCAUAGCCGACCUGAGAGGGUGAUCGGCCACAUUGGGACUGAGACACGGCCCAAACUCCUACGGGAGGCAGCAGUAGGGAAUCUUCCGCAAUGGGCGAAAGCCUGACGGAGCAAUGCCGCGUGAGUGAAGAAGGCCUUCGGGUCGUAAAACUCUGUUAUAAGAGAAGAACAAAUUGUAGAGUAACUGCUACAGUCUUGACGGUAUCUUAUCAGAAAGCCACGGCUAACUACGUGCCAGCAGCCGCCGUAA